rnacentral:lncRNA from 1 species
GUUUUUGUCGUGGACUUCACGCAGGAGAGAAGACUGAGAGAAGUUGUGGUGAAGUGCAGUUUCUCCAGCAGCAUACUGGAAGAAAAUAACGGAUUACCUGGAAGUUCUCCUUCUAUGGAGAUAUUUAAGACCUGUCUGGAUGCCUACCUGUGAGACCUAUCGUGGCUUUUUCCUUUCUGAUGUCAGCUAUACCCCAUCAAUCAUCCCAACCACCUAAGGUCCAGAGGGUGAGAAAGUCAUCUCUAGGUGGAGCUGAACUAAGAACACAAAGUUCGAAUCUUCACAGCGGUUCUGGAAUUCUGGAGACUUCAAUCUGCUCCUGGAAAUAACUUGGAAAAUACUGAUAGUGAGCAACAGGAACAUUUGGAACACUGUAAACUUACAUUUGCAUCUUCUAAGAGUCACUAAGGAGUUUAACUCCUUUCCUGGUGAAUGGUUGAGCUGGUGUUGAACAAAUUGGUUUUAAUAUUUUAGAUAGCUGAGAAACAAACCAUGCUUUUUAAAAUGAUGUGCAACUUCAGGUGAACAAUGCCAAAUUUUUUGGAGUUCCCUUGAAGUUGUGUAAGAGACUGUAUAAACCUGGAUGUGUCCUCCUGUAAUACUUGUGGAACUCUCCACUUAUGUGUAGUCACCUCAGGGCCAAAAAUCCUUUAAAAUGAUAUUUUGUUGGAGACAAAACAGUGCCUCUACCACUCUAAAUAACUUCAGUUUAGGGAACUUCUAGCUGUAUUUUUUUGUUGAAAAACCCAAGCCCUCUUUGAUCAAGAGAUGAAAUGAAUUUGUAAGUGCUAUCUGAGAUUCCACAUGACAUAUUACAUACAUAUGGUUGUCAUUACUGAUGCUUUUCUGCAUAGUAAUUAACAUCUCAAAGAGCUGUGCAGUGAACUUAGCCCCUGAGGUAGACAAAAUACCAUGCCUGGGGUAAUUCUGAGCUCAUUUAAACACCAGGAAGCAAGAAAGUUUUUUUUCUUGCUUUUCUUCAAAUAAUAGCCUAAGGGAAAGGGUGUCUCUUCAACCACUGUUCAUACAUCAGAUGAGGUUUUCAACACCACAGGCUGUUCACUACGUGUAUUAAGUAUAGCUAAAAUAGUAUUUUUGCAAAAUUUCACAAACAUUUAUUUGAAAAGAUAAUGACUUAUUUUUGCUAAAUCUAUUUGCAAUCAACAAACCAAGUUUAAAUGGAGGGAUAAAAAUACCAGACAGCAUACAGUGAGGUAAGUAGGCAGAAAUACAAAAGCACGCUGACACAAGUUACUUCCAAAUAAGUUCAGAUUGUGACACUGCAAAAUGCUUAUGUUGUCCUUAAGAGAAGUUCAAAACAUUUAAGUCUAGGAUAAUGGUUUAUGGUUUAGAAUUCAAGAGGAAAAUCAAAGAGUAAGAAAUAAAGCAUAAAAUUAGCAAUCCA